rnacentral:tRNA from 1 species
GGGGCUUUAGCUUAAUUAAAGUGUCUGUUUUGCAUGCAGAAGAUGUGGGCUAGUGUCCCACAAGUUCUAA